rnacentral:rRNA from 1 species
CCCUAGUAACUGCGAGUGAAGCGGGAAAAGCUCAAAUUUAAAAUCUGACAGUUGUUCUGRCUGUCCGAGUUGUAAUCUAGAGAAGUGUUACCCGUGCUGGACCGUGUACAAGUCUCCUGGAAUGGAGUAUCAUAGAGGGUGAGAAUCCCGUCUUUGACAUGGACUACCAGGGCUUUGUGGUGCGCUCUCAAAGAGUCGAGUUGUUUGGGAAUGCAGCUCAAAAUGGGUGGUAAAUGCCAUCUAAAGCUAAAUAUUGGCGAGAGACCGAUAGCGAACAAGUACCGUGAGGGAAAGAUGAAAAGAACUUUGGAAAGAGAGUUAAACAGUACGUGAAAUUGCUGAAAGGGAAACGCUUGAAGUCAGUCGCAUCGACUGGAAAUCAACCUUGCUUUUGCUCGGUGUAUUUUCUGGCUUGAUGGGUCAGCAUCAAUUUUGGUCGCUGGAUAAAGGCUUGGGGAAUGUGGCAUCUUAGGAUGUGUUAUAGCCCUUGGUUGCAUACAGCGGUUGGGAUUGAGGAACUCAGCACGCCGCAAGGCCGGGUCGUUUUACGACCACGUUUACGUGCUUAGGAUGCUGGCAUAAUGGCUUUAAUCGACCCGUCUUGAAACACGGACCAAGGAGUCUAACAUGCCUGCGAGUGUUUGGGUGGAAAACCCAUGCGCGCAAUGAAAGUGAAAAGUUGAGAUCCCUGUYGUGGGGAGCAUCGACGCCCAGACCAGACCUUUUGUGACGGAUCUGCGGUAGAGCAUGUAUGUUGGGACCCGAAAGAUGGUGAACUAUGCCUGAAUAGGGUGAAGCCAGAGGAAACUCUGGUGGAGGCUCGUAGCGAUUCUGACGUGCAAAUCGAUCGUCAAAUUUGGGUAUAGGGGCGAAAGACUAAUCGAACCAUCUAGUAGCUGG